GCGAGCGUAGCUCAAUUGGCAGAGUGUCACCUUCCCAAGGUGAAUGUUGAGGGUUCGAGUCCCUUCGCUCGCUCCA
rnacentral:tRNA from 1 species